GACGAACGCUGGCGGCGUGCUUAACACAUGCAAGUCGAACGGAAAGGCCCUGCUUUUGUGGGGUGCUCGAGUGGCGAACGGGUGAGUAACACGUGAGUAACCUGCCCUUGACUUUGGGAUAACUUCAGGAAACUGGGGCUAAUACCGGAUAGGAGCUCCUGCUGCAUGGUGGGGGUUGGAAAGUUUCGGCGGUUGGGGAUGGACUCGCGGCUUAUCAGCUUGUUGGUGGGGUAGUGGCUUACCAAGGCUUUGACGGGUAGCCGGCCUGAGAGGGUGACCGGCCACAUUGGGACUGAGAUACGGCGCAGACUCCUACGGGAGGCAGCAGUGGGGAAUAUUGCACAAUGGGCGGAAGCCUGAUGCAGCAACGCCGCGUGCGGGAUGACGGCCUUCGGGUCGUAAACCGCUUUCGCCUGUGACGAAGCGUGAGUGACGGUAAUGGGUAAAGAAGCACCGGCUAACUACGUG
rnacentral:rRNA from 1 species